rnacentral:lncRNA from 1 species
AAAACACGAAAAUGCCCUUAAUGCCCAAAGUGACCCCACUACUGACACACCCCGAUCCAGAGGAUCCAGGCGUGCUGGCCGUCACGUGAGCGUGACGUAACCAUAAGUGCGACACGGAAGCGAAACAACAACAUACAUAAGAAGGAAUUCAAACCAAACUCUAGCAGAACAACCUACUAGAAUAACAGGACGAGUUAUAAUGUAAACACAUAAAUUCAGAGCAUAGGUUUAAGUGCAGUCAAGUAGGACUAAAAUAAAAGUACAUCGCUCUCAGGUGAGUCCUACAUGUCAAGAGUUUGUCAGAAAGCCGAAAUAAGACCUCGAGAGUCACAAACUGCUAACUAGAACCUGGAGGGGCGCAAAACAAAAUGAGUGGGUCAGUAAAACCAAAGAGUUUUCCAAAACAGUUCAUUUAAAACAUUUCUAACCCCUCACCGUAAAAACCUGUAUACUUCCCCAGAAAAUAGUAUAUAAACAUAUAUAUAUAUAUACACGCAACAUCAAAACUCAACUCAUAUCCAUCAUUACAACAUCUCAGAAAUGAUAUGCCAUGCACAAAAUAUAAUCAGAAUGCAUCAAUAUCAAUCAGGUGAAAUAAUACAUCAACCGGAGAUCCUACAAUGGUCAUGUACGGCUGAUUCUAAAGCUCAACAUCUAAUCCAACCGGAGUCACCUCGGUGACCUGUACGGUCCAACUCUGCACGUCACUCGGAACUACAUAUAGUAGUCUGUACGAUGACAGGUGUAUAAAUACGCUCUAGUGCUUCUCUCAUCAAUCAACAGCGCGCAUAACUAAGGUCACCCACUAGUCGGAAUCACAUCUAGUGAUAUGUACGACUAGCAUGUCAGAACCCUCACAUGGUCUGUACGACAUCCACCUACUUGGAUCCAAGACGAGCGUGCGGUGUGGUGAAUAACAAUAUAAGCACUAACACCUAGGUGCAACUUAUGAGCUUUCAAUGCAAUUCAUAUAAAAUAACUCAGCUGAAUAAUAAUAAAACUCACAUGUGCGUCCACCGCGUCAAUUCACAUAUAUAUGCAUCAAUUAUCAAACUAAAUAUCUCAACAAUUGCAUGCAUGGCAAAUAAAUUCAUAAUUUUCACAUAAACGUAUUUUCUGGGAAAAACAGUUGUAUAUAGGUAAUACGAAAUCAGAACUGCCCACUCACUGAUAAGUCGAUGGAUCGUAACCCCCGUGACGUCCUUGGAUGCACUCGUCCUCGGGAUAGGUGUCACCUAUAUGCGAAACAACUAUAAAAACGUUAAUUUUAAACACAUAACCAUUAAUUCGAAAUAACUUCUCAUACGAUGCUCAAUUUGGGUAUAUGAAUAUACCACAUCGACCUACUCGACGUCACGGACGUCGAGGAAUUUUUAGAAAAAAUUUUAGGCUUGCCACGCGCCCCCACGCGCCGUGGGUGGCACAGGUCCACGCGCCCCCACGCGCAUCAUCUUCAACCUCAGCUCGCCGGACUGGUUUUUCCGGCGGUCGGUUUCUGGCGAACUUUGAAACUCUUUGUUCUCCUUCGUUUCUCAACCAUUUUCUUCGUAUUUUAUACCAAAAUGAAGCCCCAAACAUGUAGAAUCACGAUAGACUAGUUUAAGGCUCUAAAAAUCAAGAAAUCUCACCAGAAAAUUUCCAAGAAAAUCGGCCAAAGUUGAACCACGUGAUCCUGACGUCCAAAUCCUUCAAACGAAGUACUCCGAGCCUCCUUGGGACCUUACUAAGCUCACUACAAGCUUAGAAUUCCCUAAAAAUAAACAUUUUACGUUUGCAUGAAUAGUGACCAAAAAUGAAGGUUCGGGUUUCACGUGAUUCCGAGGAUUUCACUUCCUAAAACUAGUACCAAUCAACUUAAAAUGACUCAAGGAUGAAGAUGCAUACCUUGGUUGCCUCGAUCCACCGAGAUUUGGGAGGUUUUGGGUGUGUCCGUACGUAUGGGUGUGUGUGAGAGAGAGGGAGUCGAGAUGGAGGAGAGAGAGAGAGGCUACAGGAAUGAGAGGGAGAGAGAGAGGGUUUGUGAUGUCCAAAAACAAUCCCCACCAUCCAUUUUACAUCCCUAACCAAAAUAACAAAAAAUCAAAUUAAAGUCAACUUAUCUUAUUAUUUUCUUCCAACACAUUACUAAGAUUAGACUAAAAUAAUGUCACACACCCAAGUACCUUAAUGCCCGUUAAGGGCAAUUUCGUCAUUUCACAUUCCCGUCAAAUGUACCUCCGGGACGGGCUGUGACAACUACCCUGCCGCUGCCUACAAGUUCCUUCCUCGCCCCCGUUUCUACGUCCAAUUAAUUAAUCUGGAGGUAAGCUUUUAAAUCAGGUUCAAUUAACCUCUAUAAGUACAUCUUUUAAUUAGUAUUGUAUCAUCUUGUUGAUCGUGUUUAAUUUUCUAGGUUGCACAACCUAAUCUUGAGGACUCAAAUGAUGAUGAUAAUCUCGAAAAUCUUACUCUAAUUAACUGUAAUUUGAUGGAAGUGAUUUUUCAACUAAAGGGACCGGAGCAUGAAGAAAGUAGUCACUCCGUUGAAGCAUUCAAUAAAUUGAGGUCCUUGCGGUUAGAUAUAUUGCCAAGUUUAACGCAUGUUUGGGAGACGGGUAGUUCACAAUCGAUGUUCACAGGAAGUAACUUCGGAAACUUGAAAUCGCUACGGGUCGUUGCACCGAUGAAAUAAUUACAUUACCUAAAGUGAAGUCCAUCAAUCUUAAAUGUCGGCCAAAACUCAAGUAUUUUUAUGGUGAAACUUAUACUUUCAAGUUGCCGUCUUUGGAGUUAUUGGCGGUUACUGACGUGCAAAACUUAAGCCUAUUAGCUCCAAAGCUUAUUGCCCACAUCCCCGAUUGCAAGUACGCACCGCGAUGGGAGUGGCUGAAUGGAUGGGGGACCUCAAUGCCACUCUAAGGAAUAUUUACGUAAUCACUUAUGUGUGCAUAUGCGCACACUAAAAUAUGUUUUUUUUUUUUUUUUUUUUUUUUUUAGAAACUCGAAUUAUAUUUCAAGAAAACAUCUCUCUUUUAUUUCUAAUACCGAGAAGAAUGAAGCUGACGGAAUUCUACUAGACACCAUAUAACGAGGAUGUUAACAAUCACAAAAGGUUGUGGCUUCGGCUAUUCGCUUACUUUCAUAUGUACAAACCAAUAAGAUGUCAGUUCGCCAAAAAAAAAAAAAACCAAUAAGAUGUCAUUUGUUGCACCAGAAUUUCAUUCUAAAGAUUCUGUUUCCGUUGCUUACUAUAUGUAUAAUUAAUUUCGAUUGCGAUUAUUACUGUUUGAAUUCAUCUCUCGACUGCCUAUGGGGACGUCAAGGUGGACACCAAAAUGGAGGCGCGAUGACCUGCAUCCGGAAAGUGACGUAGCCAUAACGUGCAUGCAAAUAUAAUUUAAUAAAAUAACUUCAAAUGAUCUACUGAAAAAUCGGCAUAGUCUCCUUUGGAAUUAGGUUUUGGCCCCCAAAUUUAAAACCUGCUGAAAAAGUUAUAAUUAUUUCAAAACCACAUCCCCGUCACCUAAUGGGUUAUCAACCCUCUACUACAUGCACGUAUACUCCAAUAUACUUACUGGUGGUUAGGCCUGGCAAUUCCUGACACGAUCCGAUAACCCGACACGACACGACACGAAAUUAACAGGUGUCCGGGUCGACACGAUAACGAAACGGAUCAUUAUCGGGUAACCCGAUAAGCACCUGUUAAGAUAACGGGUUUGUUCGGGUAUACACGUGGGUAACACGAUACACGAUAAGCAAAAUAUUAAUUUAAUAAUUUAUAACCCUAAAAAAAUACUAUAAUAAUUAUAUAUAUAUAUAUAUAUAUUAAUUUAACAAUUUUAUACCCCUAAAAACUAUAAUAAUUAUAUAUAUAUAUAUAUAUAUAUAUAUUAAAUUAACUAUAAUAAUUAUAAUAAUUAUAUAUACUAUAAUAAUUAUACCCAACAUAUUAACUAUAAUAAUUAUAUAUAUAUUAAAUUUUAUACCCCUAAAAUCUAUAAUAAUUAUACAUACAAAAUAAAUAGAUUUAAAUCUACUUAAUAAAUAAAUAUAUAUAUAUACACACACACACCAUUGAACUUCAUGGAAUACGAAUUAUACAAAACUAAUUUCAACGAUCCAACCGUCAAACAUGUUUGUAUAUACUUCGUAUAUACUUCGAGAUUGCAUACGCCAAAAAUUGCAAAAAACAAACAUUUAGAGAGCAAAUAACAUGACAAAACUUUUCGACGGUUAUAAACGAAAAAUCACGAUUUAACAGUCAUUUUAACUCCGAUUUUGAUGAUUUUUUACAACCACACUCCUUGACCCUAUAUGAAUACAAUGAUUGAAUUCGAUCUUCAAUUUAAAAUAUUUACACUAGUGGAUACCACAAAAUCUUAUGUUAUACUUAAUAAAAGUAUGAAUAAACUCUUAAGUAUUAGUGAAUCUAUUGUUUUGAUGGGAUACUCAUUCUACAAAACUAGUUUCAAUGAUCCAACCGUCAAACAUGUUUGUAUAUACUUCGAGAUCGCAUACGCCAAAAAUUGCAAAAAACAAACAUUCAGAGAUCAAGUAAUGGGACAAAAGUUUUUCGACGGUUAUAAACGAAAAAUCACGAUUUAACGGUUAUUUUAACUCCGAUUUUGAUGAUUUUUUACAACUACACUCCUUGACCCUAUAUGAAUACAAGUAAUGAAUUCGAUCUUCAAUUUAAAAUAUUUACACUAGUGGAUACCGCAAAAAAUCUUAUGUUAUACUUAAUAAAAGUAUGAAUAAACUAUUAAGUAUUAGUGAAUCUAUUGUUUUGAUGGGAUACUCAUUCUACAAAAACUAGUUUCAAAGAUCCAACCGUCAAACAUGUUUGUAUAUACUUCGAGAUCGCAUACGUCAAAAAUUACAAAAAACAAACAUUCAGAGAUCAAUUAACGGGACAAAAACUUUUCGACGGUUAUAAAAAGAAAAAUCACGAUUUAACGGUCAUUUUAACUCUGAUUUUGAUGAUUUUUUGCAGCUACACUCCUUGACCUUAUAUGAAUACAAUGAUUGAAUUCGAUCUUCAAUUUAAAAUAUUUACACUAGUGGAUACCACAAAAUCUUAUAUUAUACUUAAUAAAAGUAUGAAUAAACUAUUAAGUAUUAGUGAAUCUAUUGUUUUGAUGGGAUACUCAUUCUACGAAACUAGUUUCAAUGAUCCAACCGUCAAACAUGUUUGUAUAUAUACUUCGAGAUCGCAUACGCCAAAAAUUGCAAAAAACAAACAUUCAGAGAUCAAGUAACGGGACAAAACAUUUUCGACGGUUAUAAACGAAAAAAUCACGAUUUAACGGUCAUUUUAACUCCGAUUUUGAUGAUUUUUUACAACUACACUCCUUGAUGAAUAUGAAUACAAUGAUUGAAUUCGAUCUUCAAUUUAAAAUAUUUACACUAGUGGAUACCACAAAAUCUUAUGUUAUACUUAAUAAAAGUAUGAAUAAACUCUUAAGUAUUAGUGAAUCUAUUGUUUUGAUGGGAUACUCAUUCUACGAAACUAGUUUCAAUGAUCCAACCGUCAAACAUGUUUUUAUAUAUUUCGAGAUCGCAUACGCCAAAAAUUGCAAAAAAACAAACAUUCAGAGAGCAAGUAACGGGACAAAACUUUUCGACGGUUAUAAACGAAAAAAUCACGAUUUAACGGUUAAUUUUAACUCCGAUUUUGAUGAUUUUUUACAACUACACUCCUUGACCUUAUAUGAAUACAAUGAUUGAAUUCGAUCUUCAAUUUAAAAUAUUUACACUAGUGGAUACCACAAAAUCUUAUGUUAUACUUAAUAAAAGUAUGAAUAAACUCUUAAGUAUUAGUGAAUCUAUUGUUUUGAAUGGGAUACUCAUUCUACGAAACUAGUUUCAAUGAUCCAACCGUCAAACAUGUUUGUAUAUAUUUCGAGAUCGCAUACGCCAAAAAUUGCAAAAAAAAAAAAAACAUUCAGAGAUCAAGUAACGGGACAAAACUUUUCGACGGUUAUAAACGAAAAAUCACGAUUUAACGGUUAUUUUAACUCCGAUUUUGAUGAUUUUUUACAACUACACUCCUUGACCUUAUAUGAAUACAAUGAUUGAAUUCGAUCUUCAAUUUAAAAUAUUUACACUAGUGGAUACCACAAAAUCUUAUGUUAUACUUAAUAAAAGUAUGAAUAAACUAUUAAGUAUUAGUGAAUCUAUUGUUUUGAUGGGAUACUCAUUCUACAAAACUAGUUUCAAAGAUCCAACCGUCAAACAUGUUUGUAUAUACUUCAAGAUCGCAUACGUCAAAAAUUACAAAAAACAAACAUUCAGAGAUCAAUUAACGGGACAAAACUUUUCGACGGUUAUAAAAAGAAAAAUCACGAUUUAACGGUCAUUUUAACUCUAAUUUUGAUGAUUUUUUGUAGCUACACUCCUUGAACUUAUAUGAAUACAAUGAUUGAAUUCGAUCUUCAAUUUAAAAUAUUUACACUAGUGGAAACCACAAAAUCUUAUAUUAUACUUAAUAAAAGUAUGAAUAAACUAUUAAGUAUUAGUGAAUCUAUUGUUUUGAUGGGAUACUCAUUCUACGAAACUAGUUUCAAAGAUCCAACCGUCAAACAUGUUUGUAUAUACUUCAAGAUCGCAUACGUAAAAAAAAAUUACAAAAAACAAACAUUCAGAGAUCAAGUAACGGACAAAACUUUUCGACGGUUAUAAACGAAAAAUCACGAUUUAACGGUCAUUUUAACUCCGAUUUUGAUGUUUUUUUACAACCACACUCCUUGACCCUAUAUGAAUACAAUGAUUGAAUUCGAUCUUCAAUUUAAAAUAUUUACACUAGUGGAUACCACAAAAUCUUAUAUUAUAUACUUAAUAAAAGUAUGAAUAAACUAUUAAGUAUUAGUGAAUCUAUUGUUUUUGAUGGGAUACUCAUUCUACGAAACUAGUUUCAAUGAUCCAACCGUCAAACAUGUUUAUAUAUACUUCGAGAUUGCAUACGCCAAAAAUUGAAAAAAACAAACAUUAAGAGAUCAAGUAACGGGACAAAACGUUUCGACGGUUAGAAACGAAAAAUCAUGAUUUAACGGUCAUUUUAACUCCGAUUUUGAUGAUUUUUUACAACUACACUCCUUGACCCUAUAUGAAUACAAUGAUUGAAUUCGAUCUUCAAUUUAAAAUAUUUACACUAGUGGAAACCACAAAAUCUUAUGUUAUACUUAAUAAAAGUAUGAAUAAACUCUUAAGUAUUAGUGAAUAUAUUGUUUUGAUGGGAUACUCAUUCUACGAAACUAGUUUCAAUGAUCCAACCGUCAAACAUGUUUGUAUAUAUUUCGAGAUCGCAUAUGCCAAAAAUUGCAAAAAACAAACAUUCAGAGAGAACGUAAUGGGACAAAACUUUUCGACGGUUAUAAACGAAAAAUCACGAUUUAACGGUUAAUUUAACUCCGAUUUUGAUGAUUUUAUACAACUACACUCCUUGACCUUAUAUGAAUACAAUGAUUGAAUUCGAUCUUCAAUUUAAAAUAUUUACACUAGUGGAUACCACAAAAUCUUAUGUUUAUACUUAAUAAAAGUAUGGUAUAGUACUAUUGUUUUAUUUUUUUUCAUAAUUAUUUUGGUAAACUUCUCAUAAUUUGAAUAAUUUUUAAUGUUUGGUUUUUCUAUGCUUAGUUUAUGCAGAAGAUAGUUAUGACGUGGAAAACCUUACUGAAAAGGUCAUCAACAUAACUCUUGAAGGCAAUAGAUCAAGCCAAAGUUCCAAUGCAAUUUCAUGAUGAUCGAUGUAAAUCGAUGAUUUUGUAAAUUGAGGUUUAAACUUUUGAGAAAGAUUUCAUAACCUUGAAAACAAAAACUGUUUCAUUUUGCAUAUCCUUGCACAUAUAAAAUUUGUAAUAGAUUAGUAGUGUAUGUAUUAUUUUUUUAUUAGGCUCUUAUUUUCGAGUGUAGAUGUAGUACUUAAACGACAAAUGUGUUUUAAUGUUUUGAAGUAAUAUUUAUGUGGCAAUGUGUGGUAUGUGCAAAUUUAAGAAAAAAAAAAUAUUUUUCUUAACGGGUCAUAACGGGUCGGGUCACUUUACCCGUUGGGUAAAGUGACACGACCUGUUAAGGACCCGUUAAGAUAACAGGUGUGACACGACACGACCCAUUAAGAUAACAGGUGUUAUACGAAAACGACACGAACACGACUGACACGACCCGUUUGCCAGGCCUACUGGUGGUAUAGCAUACAAUUUCAUACACUAGUGAUAACUAGUGUAAGCUGAAAAUUUAACCAUACACUAGUCAUAGUUAGUGUAAGAAAUGCAAAAGAUUGGGGAGAUGCGAAAGAACUCAUCUCUGGUCCUGGAAAUAUUGCAUACAAUAUUGCUCUACCAAUUAAACCAAAUCUUAUGACUCUAGUGACAAGCUAGAAAGCCACAAAAGAAUAAACAAGGAAUCAGGCUAUGCAAUUUCCUACCACAUUUUCACAUCAACGUGAUUGUUAGGGGUUUCAACAACUUCACAGAAUAACCACAAAUCUCAUCUCCGGCAUUCAGGCAGAAAAAUCAAAUAAAAGUUUGAAAUCAAGAAUCAAUCCCGAAACUGAAAGUUGAAAUUUUGGAAAAAUAACUUACAUCAGAGGACUUUCCAUGAGGAGAAGAUCAUUUUUACCUCUUGGGUCGAGGACAUUCCACGAUGAGCCUGCAUAAAUGAACCAAUUAAACAAAGAAAUGAAAACCGAAUAACUCGGAAGCUAAAGUAUCACAGAUAGAAAAUUGCAUAUACCUAACUAAAAAUGCACAACCUAACGAGAUGUGGUAGUCUAAGUGUAUAACACAAGGGUGAGAAGUACUCUAGUGCUCACAAACUGAAGCCACAAGACUACCAGAUAAUGUAGCUUCAGAAAUAUCAUUCGUUCUUUUGCGCACAAUCAUACAUGCUCAUCAGAACAAAGUAUGAUCUCCAACGGAAAUAGAAGUGACACAGGUGAAAGUCAAAAUAAACAAACAAAUAAUAGUGAACGAGAAGGCCCUAAAGAAUUGCUCUAACUAGGAGACAAGCUUAAAUUAUUCAGAUAAUAAGCCUUGCACAAACCCAACUUUCAAAAAACUAGAUUAGUAUGCCGUGAUAUUUAACAAUGCCGUCAAAAACUUGCUUGUUGAACUACUCAACCCUGUAUUCCAUCUCCUUCUCUGCCAUACCAAAAAUUUGCACAAUUGUUUAAAACCAAAUUAAGGUCUUUCGAAAACCCACCAGAGAUUAUUUGAAAAACACGAAUUUAGAACAAUAAUUCAAAACCAAAGAACAGAAAAUCCAUCACACCAGAGUAAAAAUUAACCAUCUUGUUGCUUCCUAACUCUCAAGAAAUAUCCACGUCUCACUUUUACUAAUGUCAAAACACUGCCAUCAUUGAUCAAUUAGACAAAUAAGACCCAAUUCGAUUACGCCCAAACUCACAGAACACCCAGAUUCCCAACAUCAAUUGAACAAUCUAACCAUGAAUUUCCAAAACUUUCCCCAAAAUCCAGUCUUGGGCAUGCAUUAAAUCCAAUCUAAAACUUGAAUUCAUUUUUAGAGAACAAAAAGUAAAAACUUUGGAACAAUGAAGCAAAAGGGUAAUUACCUGUUCCUUGUCCAAAACCGUCGGCGCAUUGUUGGGGGCAGCCAUUAGAACCUGGACAAUUCGCAAAUUCGCAAAUUAAUUUACACAAACUUCUUCGAAACCGAAUGAAUUAGCAGAGAGGGUUUAAGUAAUCUUACUCGGUGGGAUGGAAUCGAACGCGCUGAAAGUGGUAGCUCUAAAUGCAGAGGGGUUUAAGCGUCCGAUUUGAAGCGAAAGCAGGAGAAAAUAAAAAUCCCACUGAGCUAAUAAUAUACGAAUUAGGGUUUUAGGAGUUAAUAUAGCGUGUAUAUGCGAUGGACGGUUUUGUUUUUCGGGGGGAUUUCAACCGGAAAAGUUAGUGGAUUAUUGCCCUUUCUUUUCUCCUUCCCAAAGGCCCUGUAUGGUGGGCCGUCGUAUAUAAUUGUCCUUUUCUUUCUUAUUUUUUGGAUUUUUUUAUUUCUUUUCUAACUCAUA